CCGAGAGAGGGCGCCUCGCGCGCCCGACCUCCCAACCCUUUGUUUGACCAAAACCCACGUUGCCUCGGGGGACGACCCGGUCGCCCCCGGCGGACCAACCUUCAUAACUCUGCAUCUUUGCGUCGGAGUCACAAGUUUAAAUCGUUUA
rnacentral:misc_RNA from 1 species